CGUGUUUUCAUUAUAAUGAAAAAUGAGAGCUGAGUUUAUUACUAGGUAAAAAAGUAAUUUGUAAUGAAGAGUGUUCUGCUUCUAAUAGAUCAUCAACUACCAAACUACAAUACUCUUUUCUGUAGAGUUUUAAUCUUAUGCCUCUUUUUCAAAUAUUUGGUUCUACGGCUGGAUCGUCAAUUAAACUUACAUUCUUGUAAAAAAUUAUUUUUCAGAGGAAAAUAUAUUGACUUUGUCUUGUAAGCACAGUAAAAAUAAAUUUUUACUUCGGAUACAGAAGAAAUAUAACCCGCUUUAUCAAAUAAUAAUAAUAAUAAUAAUAAUAGUCUACUUCAUAAAUGACCACAGAGAAAUACAAAUAACAACGAUAAUAACUCGAUUGAGAGAGAUCCAAGUCAGUGUCUCAAGAGUGCAAAAGCGGAGAAGAGAAGUGUGGUCGCAACGACGGCGCCGGAGACUGGCAAAGAGAACGCAUCUCCUUUGUCCGGUGAAGGCGCCGGUGCCUGAGCAGAGACAGCGAUGGAGAGAGCCACGAGGGCGUACGUUAGCAAGGAGGCCUUCACAAUCCUGCUAAUAAGUUGCGCCAUUGGAAUUCUCAAAAGAAAGGGAAAAGUGUGACUACCGUGUCCGUGUGAGACUCUAUGGUUCCUUGGUGUCGAAACUAUAUAGAGCGGUUGUGGGGUCCACAGAGUAAAAAUGACAGCUGGUGACAGGAAAUUAUUAAUAAUGUUUAACAGAACAGAACAAAACACAGGUAUGCAGUCUGCUGAUAGAUAGAUAAAGUAGUGUGUG
rnacentral:lncRNA from 1 species